GCAUCGAUGAAGAACGUAGCGAAAUAUGAUAUUUGGUGUGAAUUGCAAAAUCCUGUGAACCAUCAAGUCUUCGAAUGCAAGUUGCUCCC
rnacentral:rRNA from 1 species